UACGGGGGGAGCAAGCGUUGUUCGGAUUUACUGGGCGUAAAGGGCGCGUAGGCGGCCACCGCGAGUCGACUGUGAAAUCUCCGGGCUUAACCCGGAAAGGUCAGCCGAUACUGCGGGGCUAGAGUGCAGAAGGGGCAACUGGAAUUCUCGGUGUAGCGGUGAAAUGCGUAGAUAUCGAGAGGAACACCUGCGGCGAAGGCGGGUUGCUGGGCUGACACUGACGCUGAUGCGCGAAAGCUAGGGGAGCGAACGGG
rnacentral:rRNA from 1 species